rnacentral:rRNA from 1 species
UACGGGGGGGGCAAGCGUUGUUCGGAAUUACUGGGCGUAAAGGGCUCGUAGGUGGCCAACUAAGUCAGACGUGAAAUCCCUCGGCUUAACCGGGGAACUGCAUCUGAUACUGGAUGGCUUGAGUUCGGGAGAGGGAUGCGGAAUUCCAGGUGUAGCGGUGAAAUGCGUAGAUAUCUGGAGGAACACCGGUGGCGAAGGCGACAUCCUGGACCGGUAUUGACGCUGAGGCGCGAAAGCCAGGGGAGCAAACGGG